rnacentral:rRNA from 1 species
GUGGGGAAUAUUGGACAAUGGGGGAAACCCUGAUCCAGCAAUGCCGCGUGAAUGACGAAGGCCUUAGGGUUGUAAAGUUCUUUCACCUGUGAAGAUAAUGACGGUAGCAGGAGAAGAAGCCCCGGCUAACUCCGUGCCAGCAGCCGCGGUAAGACGGAGGGGGCUAGCGUUGUUCGGAAUGACUGGGCGUAAAGGGCGCGUAGGCGGUUUUUUAAGUGAGGCGUGAAAGCCCUGGGCUUAACCCAGGAGGUGCGUUUCAUACUGGAAGACUUGAGUACGAGAGAGGAAAGUGGAAUUUCUAGUGUAGAGGUGAAAUUCGUAGAUAUUAGAAAGAACACCAGUGGCGAAGGCGGCUUUCUGGCUCGUAACUGACGCUGAGGCGCGAAAGCGUGGGGAGCAAACAGGAUUAGAAACCCCAGUAGUCC